GGGAACGUAUUCACCCCGGCAUGCUGAUCCGGGAUUACUAGCGAUUCCAGCUUCAUGCAGUCAAGUUGCAGACUGCAAUCCGGACUGAGACAGGCUUUCUGGGAUUAGCGCGGCCUCGCGGCUUGGCAACCCUUUGUACCUGCCAUUGUAGUACGUGUGUAGCCCUGGAUGUAAGGGCCAUGAUGACUUGACGUCGUCCCCACCUUCCUCCCGGUUGACCCGGGCAGUCUCGCCAGAGUGCCCAGCAUUACCUGGUAGCAACUGGCAACAAGGGUUGCGCUCGUUGCGGGACUUAACCCAACACCUCACGGCACGAGCUGACGACAGCCAUGCAGCACCUGUCUCCGCGUUCCCCGAAGGGCACUCCCUAAUUUCAUAGGGAUUCGCGGGAUGUCAAACCCAG
rnacentral:rRNA from 1 species